AUUGAACGCUGGCGGUAUGCUUAACACAUGCAAGUCGAACGGUAACAGGUCUUCGGGCGCUGACGAGUGGCGGACGGGUGAGUAACGCGUAGGAAUCUGCCUCAUAGUGGGGGACAACGUGGGGAAACUCACGCUAAUACCGCAUACGCCCUACGGGGGAAAGCGGGGGAUCUUCGGACCUCGCGCUAUGAGAUGAGCCUGCGUUAGAUUAGCUAGUUGGUAGGGUAAAGGCCUACCAAGGCGACGAUCUAUAGCUGGUCUGAGAGGACGAUCAGCCACACUGGGACUGAGACACGGCCCAGACUCCUACGGGAGGCAGCAGUGGGGAAUAUUGGACAAGGGGCGCAAGCCUGAUCCAGCAAUACCGCGUGUGUGAAGAAGGCCUUAGGGUUGUAAAGCACUUUCAAAGGGGAGGAAAACCUGCCGGUCAAUACCCGGCAGCUUGACAUAGGGUGAGGUUGACGGUACCUUGAUAAGAAGCACCGGCUAACUACGUGCCAGC
rnacentral:rRNA from 1 species